GUCGCCCCGCCCAGGGCCCAGAGCACGUGCAGAGCGCCUCGCCACCGCCGCCUGCUGUGGAUCCGGCUGGCUGGGUCAGGCCUGCCAAAAGGACCAGAGCCCAACUUGAGGCAAAGGGUGGAGCAGAGGCCCCCCCCCUUCCCCGUGGCAUCACCUGGGCAGCCUACCUUGAGCAAUUCCAGUGUCUGCAGAGAGCGGGGUGCCUUUCAGGUGCUCAGCCCCAACCAUGUGGCCCUCCUUUCCCAGAAACCCAGAGAGGUUUCCUGACUAAAAUAAACAGGCUUCAAAUGAAA